AGGUGUUUUUCAGGAGAGAAUUAUCGCAGCUUAUCGCAAGCAUCGGCGCAUAAUCACCGAAGGCGUAAUGUUGAAAAUUGCAAAAGCAAUCUUAAAACCCCUAUAAUCGCUCAGGUAAAAGGACUGAAAAACUUAG
rnacentral:ncRNA from 2 species